rnacentral:rRNA from 1 species
AUUGAACGCUGGCGGCAGGCUUAACACAUGCAAGUCGAGCGGUAACAGAGAGAAGCUUGCUUCUCUGCUGACGAGCGGCGGACGGGUGAGUAAUGCCUAGGAAUCUGCCUAGUAGUGGGGGAUAACUUGCCGAAAGGUAAGCUAAUACCUCAUACGUCCUACGGGAGAAAGGAGGGGACCUUCGGGCCUUUCGCUAUUAGAUGAGCCUAGGUCGGAUUAGUUAGUUGGUGAGGUAAUGGCUCACCAAGACCGCGAUCCGUAACUGGUCUGAGAGGAUGAUCAGUCACACUGGAACAGAGACACAGUCCAGACUCCUACGGGAGGCAGCAGUGGGGGAUAUUGGACAAUGGGGGGAACCCUGAUCCAGCCAUGCCGCGUGUGUGAAGAAGGUCUUAGGAUUGUAAAGCACUUUAAGUUGGGAGGAAGAGCAGUUAACUAAUAUUUGACUGUUUUGACGUUACCGACAGAAUAAGCACCGGCUAACUUCGUGCCAGCAGCCGCAGUAA